CCUACGGGCGGCUGCAGUGGGGAAUAUUGCACAAUGGGCGCAAGCCUGAUGCAGCCAUGCCGCGUGUGUGAAGAAGGCCUUCGGGUUGUAAAGCACUUUCAGCGGGGAGGAAGGCGUUAAGGUUAAUAACCUUGUCGAUUGACGUUACCCGCAGAAGAAGCACCGGCUAACUCCGUGCCAGCAGCCGCGGUAAUACGGAGGGUGCAAGCGUUAAUCGGAAUUACUGGGCGUAAAGCGCACGCAGGCGGUCUGUCAAGUCGGAUGUGAAAUCCCCGGGCUCAACCUGGGAACUGCAAUCGAAACUGGCAGGCUAGAGUCUUGUAGAGGGGGGUAGAAUUCCAGGUGUAGCGGUGAAAUGCGUAGAGAUCUGGAGGAAUACCGGUGGCGAAGGCGGCCCCCUGGACAAAGACUGACGCUCAGGUGCGAAAGCGUGGGGAGCAAACAGGAUUAGAUACCCCUGUAGUC
rnacentral:rRNA from 1 species